GUGAAGUUUGAUCUUUGCUUAGGGAAUUCGCUUUUAAUUGAUUGAACAUGUGAAUUUUUGUGUGAUUAGGUUCAUCCUAGAUGGAUAAUUUUAGAUAUUCGCAGUUUUUUAUUUUAUUUUUUUAGGUAACUAAGAAUUAGUUUAUUUAUGAGUUCUGACAAAGUUUGUGCCAGCAGUCGCGGUUAUACAAUAAGGGCAAGCGAAUUUUAUUGGGAAUAACAUUUAAUUUUAUGUUUAAGAUUUUUUUAUUUUUCUUUUGGGUGAAAUCAUGGAUUGGUUUAAGGUCUUUAUUUUGAUGUUGAAUGUGAAAUUCUGUUUUGGGACUAGGAUUAGAUACCCUAUUAUUAUGGAACGUUAAUUUAUUUCCCUGGUAUUAAUAGUUAUGAUCUUUAAAUUAAAAGGAUUUGGCGGUAAUUUAGUCUUUUCAGAGGAAUCUGCCCUGUAAUCGAUGAUCCACGAUUAAUUUCACCUUAUUUUAGCUUGUAUACCUCUGUCAUUGAAUGUCUUAUUAGGGUUUAAUUUUCUAUAAUUCUUAAUGGUAAAAAUGUCAAGUCAAGGUGCAGCAGUAUUAAGGAAGAGGUGGAUUACAAUAAAUUUAUUUAUGGAUAGUAAAUUGGAAUAUUUGCUUGAAAUUGGAUUUGAAAGUAAUUUUUAUUAAUAUAUAAUUUUGAUUUAUGCUCUAAGUUAUGUACACAUCGCCCGUCACUCUCGUUCUUAAAAUGAGAUAAGUCGUAACAAAGUAGGUCUACCGGAAGGUGGGCCUGGAAAGUU
rnacentral:ncRNA from 1 species